UACGUAGGGGGCAAGCGUUGUCCGGAAUUAUUGGGCGUAAAGGGCUCGUAGGCGGUCUGUCGCGUCGGGAGUGAAAACUCAGGGCUUAACCCUGAGCCUGCUUCCGAUACGGGCAGACUAGAGUGCGGUAGGGGUGACUGGAAUUCCUGGUGUAGCGGUGGAAUGCGCAGAUAUCAGGAGGAACACCAGUGGCGAAGGCGGCUAUCUGGACGGUUUCUGACGCUAAGACGGCGAAAAGCGUGGGGAGCAAACAGG
rnacentral:rRNA from 1 species